rnacentral:rRNA from 1 species
AACGAACGCUGGCGGCAGGCCUAACACAUGCAAGUCGAACGCGCGUAGCAAUACGCGAGUGGCGCACGGGUGAGUAACACGUGGGAACCAACCCAGAGGUUCGGAAUAACCGCGGGAAACUGCGGCUAAUACCGGAUAUCCCCUACGGGGGAAAGAUUUAUCGCCUCUGGACGGGCCCGCGUCCGAUUAGCUAGUUGGUGAGGUAAUGGCUCACCAAGGCGACGAUCGGUAGCUGGUCUGAGAGGACGACCAGCCACACUGGAACUGAGACACGGUCCAGACUCCUACGGGAGGCAGCAGUGGGGAAUAUUGGGCAAUGGAGGGCAACUCUGACCCAGCCAUGCCGCGUGGGUGACGAAGGUCUUCGGAUUGUAAACCCCUUUCGGGAGGGAAGAUGGGACGGGCAACCGUUCGGACGGUACCUCCAGAAGCAGCCACGGCUAACUUCGUGCCAGCAGCCGCGGUAAG